rnacentral:ncRNA from 1 species
AAUAUCUAGCGCCUGGACAUUUUUAUGUUGACGAGGUUCAAGGUUAUCGAAAUAUUCGGCGGAUGCCUUGAUGGCUUUAGCUUAUGGUCAUUAAUAUUGAUAAAAAAAGUAAUAGUGAUGUUACAACAAAAUUCAAUAU